ensembl:misc_RNA 7SK 7SK RNA
GGGUGUGAAGGUGAUCUGACUGCAACACCUGUCACCCCCUUGAUCGUCAGGAUAGAUUUGGUUGAUUGCUGGCUGGACGAGUGUUCGCCUGCCUUAUUGCUUCCUAUGCAUCCCUCUUUAGGGGGACCACGCCUAAUAGAGGAGGACCAUAUCCUUGAUCAAGGGUAUAAUAGAACCCCAUAAAGAGACAGUUUCACUUAGAAUAUAAGACAAUAUGAAACUUUAGUGUAUUAAUAAUUAGCGUGACUUACAGAAAUUGGAGAACAGCUUGUCAUGAAAUAACAUGGGAAAGUUCUACUCAGUGUGCU